AGAGUUUGAUCCUGGCUCAGGACGAACGCUGGCGGCGCGCCUAACACAUGCAAGUCGAACGGAGCUGAGAGGAGCUUGCUUUUCUCAGCUUAGUGGCGAACGGGUGAGUAACGCGUGAGUAACCUGCCCUGGAGUGGGGGACAACAGUUGGAAACGACUGCUAAUACCGCAUAAGCCCACGGUCCGGCAUCGGAUUGAGGGAAAAGGAUUUAUUCGCUUCAGGAUGGACUCGCGUCCAAUUAGCUAGUUGGUGAGGUAACGGCCCACCAAGGCGACGAUUGGUAGCCGGACUGAGAGGUUGAACGGCCACAUUGGGACUGAGACACGGCCCAGACUCCUACGGGAGGCAGCAGUGGGGGAUAUUGCACAAUGGGGGAAACCCUGAUGCAGCGACGCCGCGUGGAGGAAGAAGGUUUUCGGAUUGUAAACUCCUGUCGUUAGGGACGAUAAUGACGGUACCUAACAAGAAAGCACCGGCUAACUACGUGCCAGCAGCCGCGGUAAAACGUAGGGUGCAAGCGUUGUCCGGAAUUACUGGGUGUAAAGGGAGCGCAGGCGGACCGGCAAGUUGGAAGUGAAAACUAUGGGCUCAACCCAUAAAUUGCUUUCAAAACUGCUGGCCUUGAGUAGUGCAGAGGUAGGUGGAAUUCCCGGUGUAGCGGUGGAAUGCGUAGAUAUCGGGAGGAACACCAGUGGCGAAGGCGACCUACUGGGCACCAACUGACGCUGAGGCUCGAAAGCAUGGGUAGCAAACAGGAUUAGAUACCCUGGUAGUCCAUGCCGUAAACGAUGAUUACUAGGUGUUGGAGGAUUGACCCCUUCAGUGCCGCAGUUAACACAAUAAGUAAUCCACCUGGGGAGUACGACCGCAAGGUUGAAACUCAAAGGAAUUGACGGGGGCCCGCACAAGCAGUGGAGUAUGUGGUUUAAUUCGAAGCAACGCGAAGAACCUUACCAGGUCUUGACAUCCAGCUAACGAAGUAGAGAUACAUUAGGUGCCCUUCGGGGAAAGCUGAGACAGGUGGUGCAUGGUUGUCGUCAGCUCGUGUCGUGAGAUGUUGGGUUAAGU
rnacentral:rRNA from 1 species